UGGGGCAGGCGCGCUCCGGGGCCCACGAGAAGGGGGCGGAGCGCGAGGAAGCGGCGGCGGUUUCCUUCGAAGAAAGGGGGACCCGGCGAGGCGCGUUGUAGGGAAACCGUUAGCAUGUCAGUAUCGCCGCCGUUCCUUCUCGUACCUCCGUGUCCGUUUGCCUCCCCCUCCCUCCCAACCGUCGCCCGUCUCCCCCUCCCUGCCUCCCAACCGUCGCCCGCCUCCCCCUUCCCCAAGACCUCGGGUGCCCCCGCCUCCCCGCGCACCAUCACUCCAUCCACCUCCCUCUGAUCUUUCCCUUCCGUCCUUCUUUCCUUCUUUCUUUCCUCUGGGGGAAGGAGAAGCGGGGGCCGCACUCUCCGGGAGAUCGCGGGGGACCGAAAAAGGGCCCACCUCUCUGUUUGUGGUCCUCGAGAGGAGGCUGUUGGCGGGACUUUGGGGUGAGGGGCCGGGAGGAGGCGGAGCAUGCUCUCCGGGCAACGACUACUAUGGCCUCCGGUCCUUCUCUCGGGAGCACUGGGCUGAGCCAGGACUAGGUUGGCACCAGGGCCCAAGCUGCCUGUGACGGGCAG
rnacentral:lncRNA from 1 species